UUGGAGGAUUUGGAGACUUCAACUUACAUACUUAAAGUCUUACUUUCAUACUUAAAGGAUUUGAAUACUUCAACUUGUAUACUUAGAGGAUUCUAAUACUUUAACU
rnacentral:pre_miRNA from 1 species